GUCCUACGGGAGGCUGCAGUGGGGAAUCUUGCGCAAUGGGCGAAAGCCUGACGCAGCGACGCCGCGUGAGUGAUGAAGGCCUUCGGGUUGUAAAGCUCUGUGGAGGGGGACGAAUAAGGGUUGGCUAAUAUCCAGCUCGAUGACGGUACCCCUUUAGCAAGCACCGGCUAACUCUGUGCCAGCAGCCGCGGUAAGACAGAGGGUGCAAACGUUGUUCGGAAUUACUGGGCGUAAAGCGCGUGUAGGCUGCUCGGAAAGUCGGAUGGGGAAGCCCGGGGCUCAACUUAGGAAGUGCAUUCGAAACUUCCGAGCUGGAGUGCUGGAGAGGAAGGCGGAAUUCUCGGUGUAGAGGUGAAAUUCGUAGAUAUCGAGAGGAACACCGGUGGCGAAGGCGGCCUUCUGGACAGCGACUGACGCUGAGACGCGAAAGCGUGGGGAGCAAACAGGAUUAGAUACCCUUGUAGUCG
rnacentral:rRNA from 1 species